rnacentral:lncRNA from 13 species
AGAGAAGAACUUUAGCUCUGGCUUGUGGGUGUGACUUCCUCUAAGGCCCCUUUGGAAGACAUUUCGAACAAAGUGAUGAUUAGAGCUCAGGGCUCAGUUCCCCUGUCUGAGGUCUAUGUGCCAGCAGAUCCACUUGGUGGGGUUUAGGGCUUCUGAAAAACAACUCGGAACACAUGUUGAGAUGUUAUAUUUAGUUUCUGGAGGGAACCAAACAUCCUAUGACUCUAACUUUCUUGGCUAUUGUUUUAAGCUACUAUUGGCUUCUUGCUUAUUAAAUUGCCCGUGUACUUCCCAGGGCUAGCUAGGUGUCUGAAAUUUCUAUGAAUGAACUCAAGAUUCUACUUCACUUCCAUGCUUGCAAAGCAGUAUGUGGCAUGGGGAGGGUUAGCAGCGGGCCCUUAAGAGGCACCCCCACUCUGUUUCAGGACCAGGAGCCUCAGGCAUGAAGAGAACACAGAGUGACAGUUACAAGGUGCAAAAGGAGGAGACCUGAGGGUACCAGGCUGGAGGGUGAGCCCACAGCAGGUCAGGAAGGGAGGACACAGCACCUUGAGAAUGCCUCACAGAAAAGAGCAGGUGAGGGACACCAUUAUUUGCCUGUGGGGAGCUGAAAAAGAAGCAAGAGCUGAGGUGAAGAUAAGCUGCCAGAACCCAGGUAGACUGCCCUCUGCAGCCUGUCUACCCUCCACAGCCCUGCCCUGCAGCUCUCUGCACUCCUCUUUGCUGUCUUUUUUUCUCUAUUCUCUCCUGCCAUUUUCUUCACUUAGUCAUCCAUAUAACUAUUCAACAGACAUUUGUGGGGCACCCAUUAUAUUCCAGGUAAUGGAGAUGCAGCUGUGAAAGCUAGAGCCUCUGCCCUCAAGGAACUUACAAUGUAAAGCACUCAGAGACAAUGCCAUGCAGCAUGGCCAGUCCUGCAACCCAGAGAAGCAAGGGGCCAUGACAGAGAGAAAGGAAAGAGGAGGGGAACAGGCAAAUCCCAGAAGAGACUGGCAUUUGAGUCAGCAGACUGAGUAAAGAAGGUGCCCCUCCUUGAUGUCAGUGGCACUGUCCAAUCUACUGAGGGCCUGAUGAGAACAAAAAGGUCAGGGAAGGGCAAAUUCACUGUCUCUGCUUGACGUGGGAAGCCAUUUUCUCUUGCCCUUGGACACUGGUGUUCCUCACUCUCUGGCCUUCAGACUCAGACUUGGACUUACACCAUCGGUGCCCUGGUUCUCAGGGCGCUGGGCUUGGAUAAGAACUAUGCCACUGCUUUCCUGGACCUCCAGCUUGCAGAUUUUUUUAUUUGAUCUUCUUAUACCUGCAUCCCAGAGGCCUAGAGCUCCAUGGAAGUGGAUGUCUGUGUGUGUUUGGGGAUGGGGUGGAGAAAGGAGGUGCUCAAUAUUUUGAAUUUUGCCUUGUCCGGGUCUGACGCCUGACUUUUUCAGCCUCAUCCUGUGGGACUUCUCAGCCUGCAUAAGCACGUGGGUCAAUCCCUCAUAAUAAAUCUCUUUCUAUUUGUCUGUACA